UACAGAGGGUGCGAGCGUUGUUCGGAAUUACUGGGCGUAAAGGGCGCGUAGGCGGCGACCCAAGUCAGAUGUGAAAGUCCUGGGCUUAACCUGGGGACUGCAUUUGAUACUGGGUUGCUUGAAUUCGGGAGAGGAUAGCGGAAUUCCCAGUGUAGAGGUGAAAUUCGUAGAUAUUGGGAAGAACACCGGUGGCGAAGGCGGCUAUCUGGACCGACAUUGACGCUGAGGCGCGAAAGCGUGGGGAGCAAACAGG
rnacentral:rRNA from 1 species